ACACCUGAUUUCAGUUGGAAGACCAGUUUGUGGUCGAGGGUCUAGCGAUUGCUGAAGAGUGGGACAGUGUGUUUCCUGAUCAGGAGUACAUCUUUGGGGAUUUCACAGAGCGACUGUGGGCAUAUCUGACCAUCCAGCAGCUCUUGGAUAAAAGAGAGAAAUGCUCCCCAGAGGACGAGGAGAACGUCACAGCUGAAGCUCUAGACCUUUCUCUAAGGUAUAACUUUGUCACACCUCUCACCUCCAUGGUGGUCACCAAACCAGAGACUGAAGAUGAAACGCUCAUUGCUGACAAGCUGACUGAAGAGCACCGAGAAGACACAACAGAACUUGAUAUAAGUGCCUUCUACGCUCCACCUCAAUUGACUAGGAGUGCUCACCCAAUCCAAAGACUACAAUUCAAGAUAUCACCUUCAUAUUUUGGUGAGAAGCGAUGUCAUUUUUUGUACAUUUUAAAGAAAAAAUUUACAGUAAAGAAAGAUAUCUUACAUGUUACUCAUGAGUUUGUCUCUUGCAGUUGAUGGAG